CCUACGGGUGGCAGCAGUGAGGAAUAUUGGUCAAUGGACGGAAGUCUGAACCAGCCAUGCCGCGUGCAGGAAGACGGCUCUAUGAGUUGUAAACUGCUUUUGUACAAGGGUAAACCUGAAUACGUGUAUUCAUCUGAAAGUACUUUACGAAUAAGGAUCGGCUAACUCCGUGCCAGCAGCCGCGGUAAUACGGAGGAUGCGAGCGUUAUCCGGAUUUAUUGGGUUUAAAGGGUGCGUAGGCGGAGCGUUAAGUCAGUGGUAAAAUUGAGGGGCUCAACCCCUUCCCGCCAUUGAAACUGGCGCUCUUGAGUGGAAGAGAAGUAUGCGGAAGGCGUGGUGUAGCGGUGAAAUGCAUAGAUAUCACGCAGAACCCCGAUUGCGAAGGCAGCAUGCCGGCUUCCUACUGACGCUGAAGCACGAAAGCGUGGGGAUCGAACAGGAUUAGAUACCCUUGUAGUC
rnacentral:rRNA from 1 species